ensembl:lncRNA
CUGGUUUUGGGCGUCGUGAGGGAGGAAGCGGGCAGUGCGUUGCUUCGUGCGUGGCUCAGUGCCUUUCUUUCUUCUGGUGUGCCUCCCGCCCGAGCUUUAGCCAGUGGAGAUGGCAGGGACCUCGGACCAAGUUGGAUGUGGCAGCCAAGCUGUGAGGACACAGGCAGAUUUGCAGGUAGAAGGCAAGGGCACUGAGGCCACAAGACAAUGUACUGUGAACUAGGAACUGUGGGAAGGAGGAAGGAUGCAGUGGGCCCUUCCCUGCCCCCCAGCAGACGUAAGGCUCACACAGCUGUCCUGCACCCCUUGCAGGUACUGGACAGGGAGCAAGGAUGUCACCAAGGUUUCUCUUCUGCUUUGGGACCCCACCAUGUAGGUGUGAGGUCCUGUCACAGGGGAACGCCAGCAGGGAGCUGGGUCCAGCCUGAGGGCUGCCAGAUUCCUCCAGCAGGCAUGGUUAUCCCCGCUGCCAUUUCCUCCUCCCAUUGCAGAAAAACAUGGGAAAUCUUCUCAGGAAUUUUGCUAUUUUAAGCAAGCUUCUCUGUCCCUCCUGAUAUCACAGCUUCCUUAUCCUCGCCAGAAUAAUACAAGGACAAUAAUUUUAAUCCUUCACGAAAUGUUGGUAUUAAAGGCUUUGAGCUGCUGGAAAAGUGCCUGUCCGUAACAAUGGGGUUAAUGCGACUGUGGGACUCAUCCAGCCUCCACAUAAACCUGCACAGAUUUGUGCCACGUAUAGCUGGGACUGUCCCGAGCCAUAGAGCACAGCCCCUGCCCUCACCAGGACUAGGCAGGCUGUUAUUCUGUGCGUUUGAUAGAAGCAGGUGCCCUCUUGCAGGGUUUAAUACAAGGAAAAUAUAAUAAUAGUUAUACCUGCAGGAGGUAAUAUAUCAUAACACAUCCAGUGUCUUUACAGGUCAGUUUUACAACAGUUGCAUUUCUCAAUCCCUGUAAUUUAAUCUGAUGGUUAACUUCAUGACUUAGUUCUUUACUACGCCUCUGAGCUUCUUCCUCAGUACGCUGAUGUGUAGUGACUCAAAAUUAUGGCAUUCAGUGCACGUACAUCCAGAAUCCUGUUACUGGGCAUUUAAAUACAUGGGGGUUACUUGUGUUCCAUCUCUGAUCCUGGUAGUGACUGCAUUGAUUCCAGAAUCUGGGGUCGCUGAUAAUGUGUUACCCAAAGUCCCUGCCUUUAUAGUAGUGUCAGCGUGGAAACAAUGUAAUUCACUGAUCUGGAUGCUAAAGAAUGGCUGCCCACUGACGCCACCCAGACAUUCCUCCUUUCCUGUGGGCUCCGUGUCCUUUAUCACUCAGCUCAGAAGGGACAGCACUGUCUCCACAGCCUCGUGGACCGAGAAAGACUGGGCAC